GGACACAGAGCUGGUGGGAUCACGCCAUGGCCUGGGCCCCUCUCCUCCUCGCGGUGCUCGCCCACAGCUCAGGUUCCCUGGUCCAGGCAGCAGUGACUCAGACGCCGCCCUCGCUGUCAGCCAACCCGGGAGACACCCUCCACAUCUCCUGCUCUGGGAUUAGCAGCAGCUAUGGUGUUGGCUGGUUCCAGCAGAAGGUGCCUGGCACUGCCCCUGUCACUGUCAUCUAUGCUAAUAGCAAGAGACCCUCGGACAUCCCUUCGCGAUUCUCCGGCUCCACAUCCGGCUCCACGGGCACGUUAACCAUCACUGGGGUCCAAGCCGAGGACGAGGCUGUCUAUUACUGUGGUAGCUACGAUGGCAGCACUGAUGCUGUUGUAGUGAUGCUGAGAGAUUUGCAAGUGAGUCUAAAGGAGUUAAAAAUAGAACUUUUCCAGCACUUCUUCCUCCUGGUCAAGUAG